AGCAGCCGCGGUAAUUCCAGCUCCAAUAGCGUAUAUUAAAGUUGUUGCAGUUAAAAAGCUCGUAGUUGAAUUUCGGGGUUAGUAGGUUGGUCGUGCCACUGGUACGUACUGGUCUCACUGAUUCCUCCUUCCUGAUGAACUGUAAUGCCAUUAAUUUGGUGUUGCAGGGAAACUGGACUGUUACUUUGAAAAAAUUAGAGUGUUUAAAGCAAGCUAACGCUUGAAUACAUUAGCAUGGAAUAAUGAAAUAGGACGUUCGAUCCUAUUUUGUUGGUUUCUAGGAUUGACGUAAUGAUUAAUAGGGAUAGUUGGGGGGCAUUAGUAUUCAAUUGUCAGAGGUGAAAUUCUUGGAUUUAUUGAAGACUAACUACUGCGAAAGCAUUUGCCAAGGAUGUUUCCAUUAAUCAAGAACGAAAGUUAGGGGAUCGAAGACGAUCAGAUACCGUCGUAGUCUUAACCAUAAACUAUGCCGACUAGGGAUCGGAUGAUGUUAAUUUUUUAAUGACUCAUUCGGCGCCUU
rnacentral:rRNA from 1 species